CCUUUAUGUCUAAAGUGUCAUGUUUGAACAUAUAUGUAUAUAUUGAGCAUCUUGUAUAGUAGGGUUAAUUGUGAGCUUUAUUGCAUGAUUGUGAAUUUAAUUUCGUAUGAAAUAUUGGUAAGAAUGUGAGAAUUGUAACCCUAUUUAUGCAUGACAAGUGACAAGAAUCUAGAAGGGUUAGUGAACAAAAGUGACACAUGGACAUAGAUCUAGUAAGUGACAUUGAUGAGUCUAGAACACUUAGAAAACGAGUGUGACAUUUGGUAUGAGAACAAGAACAUAGCACUUAGAAAACAAGUGUGGUAUGAGUACAAAACUUGGUAAUGUAUAUGACACUAGUGAUAGUAAAGAAUGCAAAGGUAAGAAUGAUUGAGACAUUAUGACAUUUCAACCUUAGAGUUCAAGGUCAUUUGAGCAUGGUCUUCCUUAAAGUUAAGGAAUGGAUUGAACUUGAAAUCCUCAAUGUAGGAUUGAUCGUUCUCACCUUUAGUCCUUGCUCGAGGGUGGUUGCUCCCUGUCGGGCAAUAUGCUCCGGAGUCGACAUCACUGGAUCGUAGCGGGUAUCUCCCCAGAGGACGGUCCUAUCAGGUUGUAGCGGGUAUCUCCCCGGUUAAAUAGGAUUUUGGGUUGGUGAGUUUGUUGAGGGCGAAACCUACGGGUUAGCCAAAAGAUUGGGUUAAGAAACUGUGAUCUUGCAUUCAUCAUGAGCAUUAUAUCGAGCAUCGCAUUUUAUAUUGUUCAGGUAUAUUAGUUGCAUUUUUAGUUGGUUACUUUCUUUCUUCUAUUCUAUUAUGCCUGAUUAGACCUAGUGGGAUAGUCGGCGUGGUUGGUUGCCGAACCCACUGGAAACUUUGUUGUAGUUCUCACACCCCUAUUUCCACAGAGCCGGGACCGAGCGAGCCGGCAGACGACCGCGGUAAGGGCAUCGCGCCCUAGGUAGAGACCGCCCGUGAUGUUCUAUUUCAUAGUUGCAUACCCUUCGAUAUAUCAUCUUUUGUAUUUGAUGAUUUUAGUAUCAUGAACAUGUUUAAAUGAAUGACGUAAAGGAUAUUUAUUUUAAAUGUCAAAAGUUAUAUUUUGGGAGAAAUGAGAUGUAAAAAGAAAUGAUCAAAUAAUUGUAUUCGAUUUUCUAAGUGUAGUUAUUUGCUUUCACUAUUGGCUAUUGCUUGCCCUCGUGCAAGCCAUUGU
rnacentral:lncRNA from 1 species